ACGAACGCUGGCGGCGUGCUUAACACAUGCAAGUCGAACGGUGAAGCGCCUUCCUUUUUGGUGGGUGUGGAUGAGUGGCGAACGGGUGAGUAACACGUGAGUAACCUGCCCCCUUCUUCUGGAUAACCGCAUGAAAGUGUGGCUAAUACGGGAUAUUCUGGGUCUGUCGCAUGAUGGGUCUGGGAAAGAUAUUGUUUCGGUGGGGGAUGGGCUCGCGGCCUAUCAGCUUGUUGGUGGGGUGAUGGCCUACCAAGGCGGUGACGGGUAGCCGGCCUGAGAGGGUGGACGGUCACACUGGGACUGAGACACGGCCCAGACUACUACGGGAGGCAGCAGGGGGGAAUAUUGCACAAUGGGCGCAAGCCUGAUGCAGCGACGCCGCGUGAGGGAUGGAGGCCUUCGGGUUGUGAACCUCUUUCGCCAGUGAAGCAGGCCUGCCUCGUUUGUGGGUGGGUUGACGGUAGCUGGAUAAGAAGCGCCGGCUAACUACGUG
rnacentral:rRNA from 1 species